UAAUACUCCAUAGAUUAGAGACACUGGAAUGUUCUUUAGUCGAAAGUUCUGGCGCCUUAGGAUGGAUCUGCGGUCGAUUAGGUUGUUGUUGGGGUAACGGCCCAACAAGCCUGUAAUCGAUACGGGUUGUGGGAGCAAGAGCCCGGAGAUGGAAUCUGAGACACGAUUCCAGGCCCUACGGGGCGCAGCAGGCGCGAAAACUUUACAAUGCAGGAAACUGUGAUAAGGGAACUCCGAGUGCCCGUAUACGCGGGCUGUCCAGGUGUUUAAAAAUCAUCUGAAGAAAGGGCCGGGCAAGACCGGUGCCAGCCGCCGCGGUAAUACCGGCGGCUCGAGUGGUGGCCACUAUUAUUGGGCUUAAAGCGUCCGUAGCUGGACCGAUAAGUCUCUUGGGAAAUCCGCCGGCUCAACCGGCGGGCGUCUAAGGGAUACUGUUAGUCUAGGGACCGGGAGAGGUGAGAGGUACUCCGGGGGUAGGAGUGAAAUCCUGUAAUCCCCGGGGGACCACCGAUGGCGAAGGCAUCUCACCAGAACGGGUCCGACAGUGAGGGACGAAAGCUGGGGGAGCGAACCGGAUUAGAUACCCGGGUAGUCCCAGCCGUAAACUAUGCGCGUUAGGUGU
rnacentral:rRNA from 1 species